rnacentral:rRNA from 1 species
AUUGAACGCUGGCGGCAGGCCUAACACAUGCAAGUCGAGCGAGCGGCGGACGGGUGAGUAAUGUAUGGGGACUGCCCGAUAGAGGGGGAUAACUACUGGAAACGGUAGCUAAUACCGCAUACUAUCGGAUAACCCAUAUGGGAUGAGCUAGUGGGUGAGGUAAUGGCUCACAUAGGCGACGAUCCCUAGCUGGUCUGCGAGGAUGAUCAGCCACAUUGGGACUGGGACAGGGCCAAGACUCUUAGGGAGGAAGCAGUGGGAAAUAUUGCAAAAGGGGCGCAAUCCUGAUGCAGCCAUGCCGGGGGUAUGAAGAAGGCUCUAGGGUUGUAAAGUACUUUCAGUCGGGAGGCGUUAACGACAGAAGAAGCAACGGCUAACUCCGUGCCAGCAGCCGCGGUAAUUC